GUUCGGCCUUAUACAGGGUGUGGUAGAGAUGCUCGCAUCCUCGGCCACGGCGGCAGCGGGCAGCGAGACCCGUCCAAGCUCGCGUCCUCGACCACGGACGGCGGCGACGAAGACCCCUUCCAAAUCCGCUUCCCGCACGCGAUUCUUGCAGGCCGUUGGGAACUUCAACCCCAACAUCCUCGGUUCCCCUCCCUCGAUGACACCAAAGAACGCGUCUCAAGCAGCGCCCGGCGUCUCCCCCAUUAUCAGCUCUUCCCGAAACCUCUCCCCAAGAUAGUUGCUGCUCUGUGCUAGAAGGGAUGAACAGGGGAGAAACAGGACAGGGCUGGGUGUUGUCUGCACACAGAGAUAUUGAGAUAAUUGGUACUAUUGUUGUAGAAUGCUGUGAUGGAAAAUAAAAAAAUUCUUCGAUC